UCGGCAUAAUGACCAGCUGUUCUAAGGGUC
rnacentral:piRNA from 1 species